rnacentral:rRNA from 1 species
GACGAACGCUGGCGGCGUGCUUAACACAUGCAAGUCGAACGAUGAAGCCGGAGCUUGCUCUGGUGAAUUAGUGGCGAACGGGUGAGUAACACGUGAGUAACCUGCCCUUGACUCUGGGAUAACUGCGGGAAACUGUAGCUAAUACCGGAUACGACCCUCGGAGGCAUCUCCGGGGGGUGGAAAGCAUUUCGGUCAAGGAUGGACUCGCGGCCUAGCAGCUAGUUGGGGGGGUAAAGGCUCACCAAGGCGACGACGGGUAGCCGGCCUGAGGGGGUGACCGGCCACACGGGGACUGAGACACGGCCCAGACUCCUACGGGAGGCAGCAGUGGGGAAUAUUGCACAAUGGGCGCAAGCCUGAUGCAGCAACGCCGCGUGAGGGAUGACGGCCUUCGGGUUGUAAACCUCUUUUAGCAGGGAAGAAGCGAAAGUGACGGUACCUGCAGAAAAAGCACCGGCUAACUACGUGCCAGCAGCCGCCGUAA